rnacentral:lncRNA from 1 species
CUUAAUUCUUUGAAAGGUAUUACUUUACUCUUGCAUAGAUUUUUUUUGUUAGUUUGUUUUGAUCUUAUCCCUAUGUGUUUCUACUUUUUGGUCCUAAUUUUAUAAAAAUAUCCAGGUUGUAGAUAUAUCUGUUAAUACGUAAAAUGUUGCUUUUUAUCAGCAGAUUUGACUUUAUUUUUCAUUUUUCUGCAGUUUUGGGAAUAUGAUUUAUAAGGAGAAGCGAGAAUCUGUUAGUAAAGAAGAUCUGGCAAGAGCUACUUUAGUUACUAUCACCAAUAACAUUGGUUCUGUGGCACGAAUGUGUGCUGUUAAUGAGAAAAUAAACAGAGUUGUCUUUGUUGGAAACUUUUUACGUGUCAAUACCCUCUCAAUGAAACUUUUGGCAUAUGCACUGGAUUACUGGUCAAAAGGUCAACUAAAAGCAUUGUUUCUAGAACAUGAGGGUUACUUUGGAGCAGUUGGUGCACUUCUUGGGCUGCCAAAUUUCAGCUAAAGCAUCAGGUCUCUCUCUCUGCUAAUAAAUGUCAUCCAAGAGGAACUAAAACCAGAGGCAUUAUUACUGCAUUGUUUGUCACUGGGAACCAAAGGAUAAAAGAGUAGCAUAAGCUGCUGAAUGUUGCCAUAUUAAAGGAGAGAACUUGGUAACGUGAAGUAUUUCUCAUUGAAAUGCUUUCCCUUUUGUAUAUAGCCAGUGUUAAAUCCUUAAAUGCAAUACAGCCUCUGAUUAUUGAGCUUCCUCUUAAAAAGAUUUUUUUAUUUUAUGUAGCCAACAUUGCAGUACUGUAUGCUCAAACACAAAUCUUAAAGUAUCGGAACUGUUUAGCUUAUGAAAAUAAUCGACUCUGAAUAUUUGUUACAAGUCUGUUUUAUGUGUUUUGAUUACUAGUGAGCAGAAAAUAACAUACCCUGUAUUCAAAAUUACUGAAAUGGCAAUCAAAGAUGAUCAUUUUUAUGUGAUUUUAGAAAUGUUAAGGCAAUACUACUAAUUAUUGUAGGUUUUUUUAACGUAUCACCCAAAGCAUGUAUGUGAUCUUUCCCCAUUAGUAUCUUUUUCUCAAAUGCCAUAAUUAACUGAAAUACUAUUAUUAAAUUUUCAUGAGAAUUCUAAAAUGAAUCCUGGGAAAUGCACGUUUGGUGAUGUUGCACUUUCUGUAUUUUACAGGAAUUAGUCAAUACAUGUUGAAAUGUUUAACAUUUUAAGAUUGGAGGCUUAAUUACUGGGAGUCUGUCUAAUGAAGUCCUGGGACUAUUGUAAUGGAAUAUGAUUUGAGUUCACUGUGCUCUUUUUGUUUGUUUGUUUUGGUCAUAUAUACAUUCAGAACUUUUAUUUUAAAACAACCACAAUAACAUUAAUAAUAGAAAAUUCAUCUGUAAAUAUUCACAGUCUAGUCACUGAAAAAUGGGAAAACCUCUACCAUGCCUUAUUAUUACCCUUUGCUGUUUGAGGAGCCAGAAAUAGAGGUGCAGUUAGAGGACGGUCACUUUUUCCAACAAAACCCACUCCAUAGCCAUGUGGAUUUUUAUCCAAAGGCUCAACAACCAGAGGGAAUGGUGAGACCUGAUAACUAAAAUACUGUUAUUGGCAAGGGUUUGAAAUGUGUAAGAACCUAGGAGGGAAAGGAAGAUUGAGCAACAUAGGAAAAGGGGAAGAGAGGCUGAGUGUCACCAAGGUCCAAACUCCAUUUAUAAAAAUACUGC